rnacentral:lncRNA from 1 species
AGAACAUAAUUCUCUUAUGCCAAAAAGUAACAGGAAAAUGAUGCAAUACACCCAGAUAAACUUUUAAAGUAAACACUAUUCAAAGUGGCGCAGUAGAAGUGUGGUAUGGGUCCAUAAACUACCACACAUGAAAGAUUUCUCUCUAAACCAUCUAGGAAUCACUAUAAGUGGACUAAACAUAGUAGAAAUCCUAUGAUCAACCCUACUAUUGCUACAGACUGGCUCCAAUACGAAAGUACCUAAUCUCCCCACUCUCUCAUCUAGAAAAGACCUUAAAUUUUAUCAAUCAUUGAUAGAGGUAUGCUCGGUGAAGAUGAC